GGGCGUAUAGCUCAGUUGGUAGAGCUCCGGUCUUACAAACCGGCGGUCGGGGGUUCAAGUCCCUCUGCGCCCACCA
rnacentral:tRNA from 1 species